GCCACCCUAGCUCAACUGGUAGAGCACCCGACUUGUAAUCGGAAGGUUGUCGGUUCGAUUCCGAUGGGUGGCU
rfam:Meiothermus silvanus DSM 9946, complete genome.